rnacentral:rRNA from 1 species
GAUGAACGCUGGCGGCGUGCUUAACACAUGCAAGUCGAACGGUGAACACGGAGCUUGCUCUGUGGGAUCAGUGGCGAACGGGUGAGUAACACGUGAGCAACCUGCCCCUGACUCUGGGAUAAGCGCUGGAAACGGCGUCUAAUACUGGAUAUGUGACGUGACCGCAUGGUCUGCGUUUGGAAAGGUUGUUCGGUUGGGGAUGGGCUCGCGGCCUAUCAGCUUGUUGGUGAGGUAAUGGCUCACCAAGGCGUCGACGGGUAGCCGGCCUGAGAGGGUGACCGGCCACACUGGGACUGAGACACGGCCCAGACUCCUACGGGAGGCAGCAGUGGGGAAUAUUGCACAAUGGGCGCAAGCCUGAUGCAGCAACGCCGCGUGAGGGAUGACGGCCUUCGGGUUGUAAACCUCUUUUAGCAGGGAAGAAGCGAAAGUGACGGUACCUGCAGAAAAAGCGCCGGCUAACUACGUG